UUGCGGGGGAGCAUCACAGUGGGAUAGUGUUGGAGCCAUUCAGCGAGUGUGAGAUUUUUAAUGAUGACUGAUCACGUGGAGAAACUUGGAUCUACUGAUGAGAAAACUGGGGGACCAAUGGGGAAACCGAGGGACAGUUGAGAAAGCUGAGGGAGAGACAAAAUCAUGUAUCUGAGGAGCCAAUCCCAGCCGGAAGAGGAAGAGACUAGGGAAAAAUGGAAGCCAUUGGAAGGCACUGGGACCUAUUCAUUUCAACACUCUGCCCACAGUGAGAUUAUAGGAGAUACUGUGGGGCCCUGGAGAUGAAGCUCACUCAGUACCUGCCCUCAAGUUACCCCCAAUCCACAGGAAGAAAUGUUAUCACACAUCAGCUUGAGGAAAGUACACAAGCUAAAUUAAAUGCUAUAGAGGUCUGGGGGGAUUGGGGAGGCUUCACAGAGAAGGACACAUUGUAGUAGCAGUCACUAGAUGGAGAAGGAGGAUAGUAAGGGCACAGCAAGCAGAGACCUGCUGAGCUAAGGCACAGAGGCACAAAAGGACAUGUGAAGGUGUGAAGUCAGGAGGAGAUGACAUGGUGGACACAAGGAACUGGUCAAGUACUUUCUGUGAUUUAGCCAACAGGUUGCUAUGGCUGGCUGUGAGUAGACUAAACAGCUUUCACCAUUCAAACUAAGUGGCUUGCAUGUGGCACUCUCUGUGGGUCCUGUUCUGACUCCUUUCUACCUCAGUCACAAGCUGAAGGCCCUACCCUGUUACCUUCCUGCCUCUGCUACCCUGCUUGCCCUUUCCCCUUACACACAUGGUCACACAUACAUGUGUCCACACACAUGCACAGAAACCCGAACACAACCAUGUAAAUCUAAAAUCUCACUCUCCUGAGAGUGCUCUCUAUGGUCUACUGUCCGUCCUUCCUGCUACGUGUAUUGCUGUUGAUUGUUGGCUACAUCAAAUUAC